GGGUUGUAGGACUACAGUACUUGGCUUCGAACCAAGGUGUCGGGGGUUCGAGUCCCUCCGAGCGCGCCA
rnacentral:tRNA from 1 species